rnacentral:rRNA from 1 species
UAGCUGGUCUGAGAGGAUGGCCAGCCACACUGGAACUGAGACACGGUCCAGACUCCUACGGGAGGCAGCAGUGGGGAAUAUUGGACAAUGGGGGCAACCCUGAUCCAGCAAUGCCGCGUGUGUGAAGAAGGCCUGAGGGUUGUAAAGCACUUUCAGUGGGGAGGAGGGWUGAUUGGUUAAGAGCUGGAUAUUUGGACGUUACCCACAGAAGAAGCACCGGCUAACUCCGUGCCAGCAGCCGCGGUAAUACGGAGGGUGCGAGCGUUAAUCGGAAUUACUGGGCGUAAAGGGUGCGUAGGUGGUUUAUUAAGUUAUCUGUAAAAUCCCUGGGCUUAACCUGGGCAGGUCAGAUAAGACUGGUAGACUCGAGUAUGG